GCUCGGCUGGCUCAGUCGUGGAGCAUGUGACUCUUGAUCUCAGGUUGUGAGUUUAAGUCCCACAUUGGGUA
rnacentral:tRNA from 1 species